rnacentral:rRNA from 1 species
AGCAGCCGCGGUAAUUCCAGCUCCAAUAGCGUAUAUUAAAGUUGUUGCAGUUAAAAAGCUCGUAGUUGAAUUUCGGGGUUAGUAGGUUGGUCGUGCCACUGGUACGCACUGGUCUUACUGAUUCCUCCUUCCUGAUGAACCGUAAUGCCAUUAAUUUGGUGUUGCGGGGAAACUGGACUGUUACUUUGAAAAAUUAGAGUGUUUAAAGCAAGCUAACGCUUGAAUACAUUAGCAUGGAAUAAUGAAAUAGGACGAUCGAUCCUAUUUUGUUGGUUUCUAGGAUUGACGUAAUGAUUAAUAGGGAUAGUUGGGGGCAUUAGUAUUCAAUUGUCAGAGGUGAAAUUCUUGGAUUUAUUGAAGACUAACUACUGCGAAAGCAUUUGCCAAGGAUGUUUUCAUUAAUCAAGAACGAAAGUUAGGGGAUCGAAGACGAUCAGAUACCGUCGUAGUCUUAACCAUAAACUAUGCCGACUAGGGAUCGGAUGAUGUUAAUUUUUUAAUGUACUCAUUCGGCGUCUUA